rnacentral:rRNA from 1 species
UUGUCUUUUAAAUAAAGACCGGUAUGAAUGGCAAGACGAAAGUUUAACUGUCUCCCUAAAUUAAUCAAUGAAAUUGAUCUUCCCGUGCAGAAGCGGGAAUAAAAUUAUAAGACGAGAAGACCCUAUGGAGCUUUAAAUACAUGAUCAAUUGCAUAAUAUUGACCCCGAAAGAUAUAAAAUAAAAUAAAGCAUAAUGAUCAAAAUUUUAGGUUGGGGCGACCACGGAGAAAAAUAAAACCUCCGAGAUGAAGAGAAUAUCUUAAUUUAUGAGUUACAACUCUAAAAAAUAAAAUAUUUAACAUAAUUGAUCCAAUAUUUUUGAUCAACGAACUAAGUUACCCUAGGGAUAACAGCGCAAUCCUUUCCAAGAGUUCCUAUCGACGAAUGGGUUUACGACCUCGAUGUUGGAUCAGGACACCCCAAUGGUGCAGCCGCUAUUAAAGGUUCGUUUGUUCAACGAUUAAAGU